rnacentral:rRNA from 1 species
UGCAGUCGGGCGGUAACAGGGGAAGCUUGCUUCCUGCUGACGAGCGGCNGANNGGUGAGUAAUGCAUAGGAAUCUGCCUGAUAGUGGGGGAUAGCCCAGAGAAAUUUGGAUUAAUACCGCAUACGCCCUACGGGGGAAAGCUGGGGACCUUCGGGCCUAGCGCUAUCAGAUGAGCCUAUGUCGGAUUAGCUAGUUGGUGAGG